GUCUCUGAAGAAUCUGGCCAUGUCUCUCUAGAUCUCUAAUUCCACAUUCCUUAUAGAGAGAGCAUAGAGAAGAUUCCCAAGAAUUAAAGUCAAAAGCUCAAUAUUACAAAGCAAUUUGAUUUUUCUGGAAGAAGUGACCUAUGAUUUUUUCCAUUGAGUUCUAUAGGUUCUCUGAAGAUCACUUGCAUCCACCACCUUCCCUGACUCAACAAGUAGGCUUUUGAGCCAACUAUCACUCCUUCAACGGACCUUGUCACCUAGGCACCAACUUGCUGAGACUUGGAGCAAAAGAAAAUCACAGAAUUUGUAGCAGGAGAGUUCAAGAAUUCUAACUCCAGAAACAGAGAGAAAUUCACACAAUAGUCAAUUCUCACAUCACCUGGUAAUGGCAGAGACCCACAGCUUUGGUUAUCUCCAGAGAGUUGGUAAUUCCUAGCUACAGGGAAUCUAAAC